AAACUAGGAUUAGAUACCCUAUUAUUGAGAAUAAUAAAUUGUAAGUAAAUAUAAAUUACGAAAGCAAAAAAUUAUGGCGGUAUCUUAAGCUUUUCAGAGGAAUUUGCUCUUUAAUGGAUAAAACACCCAAAUCUUACUUAGAUUGGUUGAGCAGUUUGUAUACCACUAUAAAAAUUAUAAUUGACUUUUAUUAUUUCUCUUUUUAUAAAGAAAUAAAUUAAGUCAAGGUGCAGCUAAAAUUUAAGGUUGAAGUGAAUUACAUUUCUUUAAAGAAAUUAAAACAAUGAAAUUAAUAUAGGAUUUGAUAGUAAAAUUAAAAUAGAAGGUUAAUUUGAAUUAAGCUCUAAGAUAUGUACAUAUCGCCCGUCACUCUUUUCUAAGAUAAGUCGUAACAUAG
rnacentral:rRNA from 1 species